UACGUAGGGGGCAAGCGUUAUCCGGAUUUACUGGGUGUAAAGGGAGCGCAGACGGCGGUUCAAGUCUGAUGUGAAAUACGGGGGCUCAACUCCCGGGCUGCAUUGGAAACUGGACGGCUGGAGUGCCGGAGGGGUAAGCGGAAUUCCUGGUGUAGCGGUGAAAUGCGUAGAUAUCAGGAGGAACACCGGUGGCGAAGGCGGCUUACUGGACGGUAACUGACGUUGAGGCUCGAAAGCGUGGGGAG
rnacentral:rRNA from 1 species